rnacentral:tRNA from 1 species
CGGGAUGUAGCACAGAUGGUAGCGCGCCUGAUUUGGGUUCAGGAGGCCGAUGGUUCGAAUCCAUUCAUCCCGA